GAUGAACGCUAGCGGCAGGCCUAAUACAUGCAAGUCGGACGGGAUUCAGGAGCUUGCUUCUGAUGAGAGUGGCGCACGGGUGCGUAACACGUAUGUAACCUACCUUUAUCAGGGGGAUAGCCUCUCGAAAGAGAGAUUAAGCCCGCAUAAAAUCACAGCACAGCAUUGUGUAAUGAUCAAAUAUUUAUAGGAUAAAGAUGGGCAUGCGGAACAUUAGCUAGAUGGCGGGGUAACGGCCCACCAUGGCGACGAUGUUUAGGGGAUCUGAGAGGAUGGCCCCCCACACUGGUACUGAGACACGGACCAGACUCAUACGGGAGGAAGCAGUAAGGAAUAUUGGUCAAUGGGCGGAAGCCUGAACCAGCCAUGCCGCGUGCAGGAAGACGGCCCUACGGGUUGUAAACUGCUUUUAUACGGGAAUAAACCCAGAUACGUGUAUCUGGCUGAAUGUACUGUAAGAAUAAGGAUCGGCUAACUCCGUG
rnacentral:rRNA from 1 species